rnacentral:rRNA from 1 species
GUUUGAUCCUGGCUCAGGAUGAACGCUAGCGGCAGUCCUAAUACAUGCAAGUCGGAGGGCCAGCAAUGGGAGUGGCGCACGGGCGCGUAACGCGUAUGUAACCUACGUUAGGAUGGGGGAUAGCCCGGAGAAAUUCGGAUUAAUACCGCAUAAGAUGGAAGACUGGCAUCAGUUUUGCAUGAAAGAUUUAUUGAGAUAAGAUGGACGUGCGUGUGAUUAGUUAGUUGUGUGAGGUAACGGGUCAUCAAGACGAUGAUCAGUAGGGGUUGGUAGAGGAAGGUCCAGCACACUGGCACUGCAGAUGCGGGCCGGACUCGUCCGGGAGGCAGCAGUAGGGAAUCAUUGGGCAAUGGAGGGACACUGUGAGGCCAGUCAUGGCCGAGUGCAGGACGAAGGAGGUAUGACUCUGUAAAGUGUUUUAGCAGUGGAAGAAAAGGAGUAUGCGGAAGAGAUUGGCGGUACCGUGAGAAUAAGCGCCGGCUAAUUACGCUGCCAGCAGCCGUCGGUAAUACGUAGGGUGCAAGGUUCUGUCCGGAUUUAUUGGGUUUAAAGGGUGCGUAGGCGGCUUUAUAAGGUCAGGGUUUUACAGCGCAUAGCUCACAUUAUGGAACUGGCAUUGAUUCUAUAGAGCAUGAGUAGAAACGGGGGCAGACGGAAUUUAGGGUGUAGCGGUGAAAUGCAUAGAUGCCAUAAACGAACACGGAUAG